rnacentral:pre_miRNA from 1 species
UUUAAAUGUAGUUAUGGGUUUCCAUGUCCAACGUUUGACCGUCCGUUUUAUUUAAAUUAUUUUAUCAUUACUUUUAUUAUUAUUAGAUAAUAAAACAUUAAUAGUAUUUUACGCGUAACUUAUUUUUUUAAUUUUUUUCAUAAAUUUUUCAAAUAAGACGGGCGGUCAAACGCUGGACACGGAGAUCCACAACUGCACUUAAA